CACUGAUCUUCAUUCUAUCCAAGUCUGUCAACCUUGUUACUUUCUUUCCAGCACACACCCCAACCCAUAACUUCACAACCAUGAGCAAGACCUACUCCUCGUCUGCCGAGACGGCCUCUUCCUACCGUCGAACCUUCGGUUCAGGUCUGGGCUCAACCAUGUCCAGCUCUCUGUUUGGCCGUGGCUCUUCUGGCUCUUCCCGUGUUUCUUCCAGAGUGUAUGAGGUGACCAAGAGCUCCAGUGCCUCCCCUAUUUACUCAAGCCACCGCUCCGGAGCAUCCUCCAUCGGCUUUGGUGGUGGAGCGGUGACACGCUCCUACGCGGGUAUGGGUGAGAAGCUGGACUUCAGCCUAGCUGAUGCCAUGAACCAGGAUUUCCUGCACACACGCACCAAUGAGAAGGCCGAGCUACAGCACCUGAAUGACCGCUUCGCCAGUUACAUUGAGAAGGUGCGCUUCCUCGAGCAGCAGAACCAGGCCCUGUCGGUAGAGAUUGAACGCCUGAGGGGCCGCGAGCCCACACGCAUUGCUGAGAUGUACGAGGAGGAGAUGAGAGAGCUGCGCAGGCAGGUGGAUGCUCUGACCAACCAGAGAGCUCGCGUAGAGGUGGAGCGCGACAACCUGGCUGACGACCUACAGAAACUCAAGCUCAGACUUCAAGAGGAGAUCCACCAGAAAGAAGAGGCUGAGAAUAACCUCUCUGCUUUCAGAGCUGAUGUUGAUGCUGCCACUCUCGCCAGGCUGGACUUGGAGAGACGCAUUGAGAGCCUUCAUGAGGAGAUUGCCUUCCUCAAGAAGAUCCAUGAGGAGGAGAUCCGUGAGCUGCAGAACCAGAUGCAGGAUACUCAGGUCCAGAUCCAAAUGGACAUGUCCAAGCCCGACCUGACCGCUGCUCUGAGGGACAUCCGCAGCCAGUAUGAGGCCAUCGCAGCCAAGAACAUUUCAGAAGCUGAGGAGUGGUACAAGUCCAAGGUAUCAGAUCUGAACCAAGCUGUGAACAAGAACAACGAUGCAUUGAGACAGGCCAAGCAGGAGACUAUGGAGUUCCGCCACCAAAUCCAGUCCUACACCUGCGAGAUCGAUUCCCUCAAGGGCACUAAUGAGUCUCUGAUAAGGCAGAUGAGGGAGAUGGAAGAAAGGAUGGGCCGCGAGGCUAGUGGUUACCAGGACACCAUCGCUCGUCUGGACGCUGAGAUUGCCAAAAUGAAAGAUGACAUGGCUCGUCACCUUCGCGAGUACCAGGAUCUCCUUAAUGUCAAGAUGGCCCUGGAUGUGGAAAUCGCCACCUACAGGAAGCUGCUGGAGGGAGAGGAGAGCAGGAUCUCUCUGCCUCCGCAGACAUAUUCCUCCUUGAGCUUCAGAGGUGAUGCCAGAGAGACCAGCCAAGAGCAGUUCUCACAGCUACGUCCCUCUGAGGUCCACUCCAAGAAAACAGUUCUGAUCAAGACCAUAGAGACCCGUGACGGAGAGGUGACACACGCACAUUCACACACAUCUCUCUAAGUCUAAAACAUCUCGUGAGGCAAUGAGUGCCAUGAGUGCCAUGAGCGCCAUGAGCACUCAGUGUGUUGUCAGUGAAUCCACACAGCACCAGCAGGACAUCAUGUAAAACAGAGAAGAAAGGCAAGAUACAAAGAAAACAGCAACAGAAUUUGAUCCAAUCUGAAACUAGACAUUUCCAAGCCACAUAGGCCCUCUGUUUUUUUCUUUGUUUGUUUUUUUAUAUCCUCAGUGAUGCUAUGACCCACAAUUCCAGGCAGCUAUGGAGGAAUAAAGGAGACAAAGCUGAAAGUGUGCAAAGAAUGAAGAUGAAACUGUGGUAGUCAUUUGUUAAAAAGAAUGUCAAUAUUCAACUGCUAAAUCUCUGAAUUUUGUAUGCAAGUGUAUGUGUGUGCUUGUGAGUAAGUGGGUCAAACGUGCAUCAUGAUUUACCGCAUACCACCAUUUGAGGCCUGCUAAUUGAUUUUGUGGUUUCAUUAAAAUGAAACUUGAAACACAAAGCAUCUGACAUACUGCAUGAUAUGAUCAAAUGUCAAUGUCUUAGCAACAUGAGACAAUGUUGAUGGCUCACAGAUUUAAGAAGGGGAACUACAAUAAAAUCCUGUUACAUAAUAUAAAAUUUGGUUUGUUAGAAUUGUAAAAAAAAAAAUCAUUCCUUGGUGCUUACUGGAUUAAACUAGUGUUUACUGGUGGCCUAAUA